AUGGUGCAAAUUCAUAAGGGAGCUUUUGAAGGGCAUGUAGGAGAAGGGCCACAGAGCAGACGUUCUUUGUGGAGAGUAGCCACGGUUUCCUGCUUCAACAGUGCUUGGACAGAACCCGGCACUUGUAUUCCAUCCAGACCAGCGCUCACAGCCAGCCUUCCUACACCUCCUCACCAUGCCCUCAGACCGUCCCAAGGCCCCCGCCUCCACUCCAACGCUAAGCAGCCGCCGCCAUGACUACCGCAACCCCCUCGCAGGUGUGCCAGAACUACCACCAGGACUCCGAGGCCGCCAUCAACCGCCAGAUCAACCUGGAGCUCCACGCCUCCUACUUCUACCUGUCCAUGUCUUACUACUUUGACCACGAUGAUGUGGCUUUGAAGAAUUUUGCCAAAUACUUUCUUCACCAAUCUCAUGAGGAGAGGGAAUAUGCGGAGAAACUGAUGAAGCUGCAGAAUCAACUAGGUGGCCGAAUCUUCCUUCAGGAUAUCAAAAAAACAGACUGUGAUGACUGGAAGGCCAGGCUGAAUGCGAUGGAGUGUGUGUUACACUUGGAAAAAAGUGUGAAUCAGUCACUACUGGAACUGCACAAACUGGCCACUGACAAAAAUGACCCCCCCUUUGUGUCUUCAUUGAGACACAUUACCUGAAUGAGCAGGUGAAAUCCAUCAAAGAACUGGGUGACCACAUAACCAACCUGCACAAGAUGGGAGCCCCUGAAUCUGGCAUGGCAGAGUAUCUGUUUGACCAGCACACCCUGGGAGACAGUGAUAAUGAGAGCUAAGCCUUAGGCUAACUUCCCCAUAGUCACAGGGUGACUUCCGUGAUCACCAAGGCAGUGCAUGCAUGUUGAGGAUUCCUUUACUUUUUCCAUAAGUUGUACCAAAACAUCCACUUAAAUUCUUUCAUUUGUACCAUUCCUUCAAAUAAAGAAAUUUGGUACC